GUGCUGGUGCUUGGUUGGGCGGCUCGGGAUGGGGAAAUGUGGGUCCUUGUGGGGCUGGGUGGUUGACCUGGCGGUGUUAUGGGGACUUAUGGCCCGUGGGGCUGGGAGUGCAGGUCCCGCGGGGAUAUGGGACGUCCCCCUGGAGCUGCGGGAGCCUGGGCGUGUUUUGGAGACCCCCAUGGGGCUGGGAAUGGGGAGAAAUGGGGGUGUCAUGGGGCUGAGGGGGCACGGGGCUGUUUGUUGGGAUAUUCUUGUGAGAUUCGGGAGGAGGGGCUGGGAGUGGGACGUGGCUGGGGGUCUGCAUGCCUGAUGGAGCCAUUCUCCCCCCGCCUACCCCUCCUCUUUUGUUCUCCUCUGGCAGACCGUGGCCACCCCCCUUUCCCGCAUGCUGGUGCUGGGGGAGGCCUCGGAGAGCAACUCAGAGCCGGAACCGGAAGGGAACAUGGCCAGGACCUCCUGAGUGGAGCUGAAAGUUCCAGGGGAGGCAUCGGUGACUGAGGAGGAGGGGGAAGAUGGGGCCCGACCGCCACUGCCAAGGGUGUCCCAGGGGGACCCUCGCUGCUGCAGCAGCAGCUGGGGGCAGGCAAGGGGCAGCUGCAGGGUGCAGUGGCUGAGGCACUGGGGGGCAGUUUCAGUCUCUUUUGUUCUCCUCUCGCAGACUGUGGCAACCCCCUUUUCUCCUGCGGUGGGGAGGCGUUAGAGGGCGACUCAGAGCUGGAGCCAGGGGGCAAUAUGGCCAGAACCUUCUGAGUGGAGCUGCAGGUUCCAAGGGAGGCAUCGGAAGGCAAGGAGGAGGAGGAAGAUGGGGCCUGAGUGCUACUGCCAAGGGUGUCCUGAUGUGUGUUGUUACACUUCAGGAUUGCAGUAAAGAGUUAAAGGUUACAAUUUUCAGUUAGUAUUAAGAGUUAUCCUUUUGUUUGAAGGGUUACUCUGGGCUCACUAAUGAACCUCACAAGAUGGCCCGAGAGUCCCGUAAGUGUGGCCGGCUCUGCUGCAGGAGUUCUUCUGCAUGGCUCGGGUUCCGCUGCAGCUGGAGGGAGCACGAGGACAGGGGCGGGCAGAGCCUGCGCAGUCGCUGCAGCAGUCUCUCCUGACAGCAGGAGUCUUCAGGUCUUUCCGCAUCAGGAUCUUUGCAAUGACGGUGAAGGCUUCUCCUGAGUCCUGUGGAGCUGCAGGAGUGGGCAGAUGACACCACAGCCCGUGGAAGGAGACCUAGGCUCCACCACCUCUUAAUACUGGCACAAGUAUUCCAAGCAUGGCUGCAGGUGGCAGAGCUCUGAACCUGGGCUGUGGGGCCAGGAUCCUUCUGCCUGCACUGAGGGAGGAGGCCAGCCAUGAUGGACAUGGCACGAGGAAGGAAGGGGAGCUGGGCCCUGUCUUCAGGCACUCAGGUACUGGUACCCCAAGGGAGCAGACAUCCCUGGAGGCCAGUUGCCUGCAUCCCUGUCCAAGGAUGCCCAGAGCAGCUAUAUGGUGUCAGCACAUCCUUGUCCACACAAAUGGUCAGGACUGAAAUCCAUACCCGGGCCGUUCUCUGGGUCUCCUCACUGAUGAGGAGCAGCAGCAGGCUUCUGCGUGCUUUCAUGUAGUUUUCCCUCUAGUGCUGUACAGCCUCCAUCACAUCUUUGUAGUAGUGGACAGAGAGUUCUGGCCUGACUCCUGGUAGGGAGGAGGACAUUCAGCAAGAGAUGCUGCCUGCCCAUAGAAUCACAGAAUCAUAGCAUGGUUUGUGUCCCUGUAUGAGAACUGUUGAGUCACAGCCUGAACCACUGAUUGAGCACCUGGGGAAAAGACCAGGUCAACCCUGGGAACACAGGUGAAGGCAAUUCAUUGUGCAACUGGAAAGGCUGGAGCCUGGCUCCACCUCUCUUAGACCUCAUAAAAGCAUGACACCAUCCCACAUGGCGGACUGUUUUUAUGGACUCAAUAAAGACUUCUUGAUCGCAAAAGAG